rnacentral:rRNA from 1 species
CAAUAGCGUAUAUUAAAGUUGUUGCGGUAAAAAAGCUCGUAGUUGGAUUUCUGUUGAGAGCGACCGGUCCAUACAAUGUAUGCGUAUCUGGCUUGCUCUCGGCAUCCUCUCGAUAGACGUUACUGCGCUUGAUUGCGUGGUGCGGAUCUCGGGACUUUUACUUUGAGGAAAUUAGAGUGUUCACGGCAGGCUUUCGCCAGAAUACAUUAGCAUGGAAUAAUACUAUAGGAUCUUGGUUCUAUUUUGUUGGUUUCUAGAAUUGAGAUAAUGAUUAAUAGGGACAAUUGGGGGCAUUCGUAUCAACACGUCAGAGGUGGAAUUCUUGGAUUGUGUUGCGACGAACUACUGCGAAAGCAUUUGCCAAGGAUGUUUUCAUUGA